UUGAAACUCAUAAUCAAGCCAUCAAAAUCAAUUUUGAGAUUCACAAAAUAUCAUAAAAUCAUUAAUCUUGAUCAGAUGGGAGCGGUGUUUGACUCAAGAUAGGAUAAGAUAAUUUAACAUGUUAUUUAGAAUUGAAAAAGAAGGAUCAAAUCCACCGAGGAACGGAGAGAGGAUGAAAAACUUUACGGAAACUCCAUUCAAACAAGUUUAUUCUUAGGGACAAUUUAACAUACCUAAUUCCCUUCUAAUGAAUUCAAAUUGAUCUUCAUUCAAAG
rnacentral:lncRNA from 1 species